GAUGAACGCUAGCGGCAGGCCUAACACAUGCAAGUCGAGGGGUAGAGGAAGCUUGCUUCCUUGAGACCGGCGCACGGGUGCGUAACGCGUAUGCAAUCUACCUUUUACAGAGGGAUAGCCCAGAGAAAUUUGGAUUAAUACCUCAUAGUAUUUUCGAAUGGCAUCAUUUGAUUAUUAAAGUUCCAACGGUAAAAGAUGAGCAUGCGUCCUAUUAGCUAGAUGGUAAGGUAACGGCUUACCAUGGCAACGAUAGGUAGGGGUCCUGAGAGGGAGAUCCCCCACACUGGUACUGAGACACGGACCAGACUCCUACGGGAGGCAGCAGUGAGGAAUAUUGGACAAUGGGCGCAAGCCUGAUCCAGCCAUGCCGCGUGCAGGAAGACGCAUCUAUGGUGUGUAAACUGCUUUUGUACGGGAAGAAACACUCCCUCGUGAGGGAGCUUGACGGUACCGUAAGAAUAAGGAUCGGCUAACUCCGUGCCAGCAGCCGCGGUAAGAC
rnacentral:rRNA from 1 species